GAGCAAUGACUUGAGAUCACUGAUCUAAGGUUUCUACCUCCACAAAGAGCAGUAUUUUAGCUCAUUCUUCUUGGUGAUGAAUAAAUUGACUUCCAACUAUGAAUAAUCUGAAAAUAAGCAUUUUGUGGACCCUCACUGACCAUGGUUAAAUCGUGAUGAGAGGAAAGCCAACAAAAUUGAUGGUUCAGUAGCUUCAUCCAUUUACCUGAUAACCAGCCUUGGACCUGAAAUCCAACCUCGUGGUCAAAUAAUUCUGCUUGAUGCCCCCAGUCUACAUAUUGGCAUGUUUCUCUCCUGUAGCUGACAAGAGGUGUCUACCAGCACGCCAUUGCUUGUUUCUCUCCGUCAUUGAUUCCUGAAUGCGCACGCUCGUGUGCGCACACACAAACAACACUUCUCAUCCGAGAUCCUUAUAUCUUCAGUCUCCAGCUUACAGAUAACCCUUCCACACUCAGCUAUAGCCAGUGAUUCAACAUUUCAUCAUGGAAUAUAUAUUUUGAAAAUACAUCCUGGACCCUAAAAAGACUUUUCCAAAACUGCUGACCUGGCUAUUUGAGAACUGCUAAUGUAGUCCAUCUGUAUGCCUUCAGAACACAUAUAAUCAUAUGGAGGAAUCAUUUGUGGGGGAAAAACCUACAUCCUGGUAUUUCAGCAGAAGGAAUUUAUUGAUCAACAUCAGAGAUGACUCAUCACAGAAUAUUAACUUCUGUGAAAUUAAUAUUGGGUGAAAGAGGACCAAUUAAUGAUUACAGGUAUUUCAGAAAGCCUGGUGCACACUGUGCAAUGAUCAAGCUGCAUGAACGAACCAAAAUGUCAAGAUGAUUUGCCUUUGACAGGAAUUGUAUCAAUUCUCAUAAUGCCAUUACCUCUUA